AUUGAACGCUGGCGGCAUGCUUUACACAUGCAAGUCGAACGGCAGCACGGGGGCAACCCUGGUGGCGAGUGGCGAACGGGUGAGUAAUGCAUCGGAACGUACCCUGUCGUGGGGGAUAACACAUCGAAAGAUGUGCUAAUACCGCAUACGACCUGAGGGUGAAAGCGGGGGACCGCAAGGCCUCGCGCGACAGGAGCGGCCGGUGUCUGAUUAGCUAGUUGGUGGGGUAAAGGCCUACCAAGGCGACGAUCAGUAGCUGGUCUGAGAGGACGACCAGCCACACUGGGACUGAGACACGGCCCAGACUCCUACGGGAGGCAGCAGUGGGGAAUUUUGGACAAUGGGGGCAACCCUGAUCCAGCCAUGCCGCGUGCGGGAAGAA
rnacentral:rRNA from 1 species